GGAAGGAUCAUUGACACUUUUUAUAUCCACAAUCCAACAACCCCGUUGAACUGUCUGGCGUGCCGAAGUAUUGAGCGAAAGGCUAUGUGGUGAGGAAAACCGUUACUGGGUGGCUUCAUUGCUGCUCCGUAGUUCGGCUUCUCGUCUUCGUUUCCGCUCGGUGUGUGCUCCUCUUUUGGGGGAAUACACAACGAAGCUUCGGUGCGUCGCAUCACCAUGUGACUCUAACCACUAUGAAUUUAUGACUAACAAAAAAUGUUGUCAAAGUCUCUCUCCUUUUGGAGGGUAAUUUUGCAACUUUACUUACGAAACUCAGAACAACUCUUAGCAACGGAUAUCUUGGUUUCCGCACCGAUGAAGAACGCAGCGAAAUGCGAUACGUAAUGCGAAUUGCAGAAUUCAGUGAAUCAUCAAAUUUUUGAACGCAAAUGGCGCUUUCGGGUUAGUCCUGAAAGCACGUUUCUCUGAGUAUCGGUUCUACCUCACCUCGACCGCGUUCGUGGUAUUUUCGAAUAUUGCGAGCACGGUUGGUCAUUGGAUGUCACGAAGACCCGAAACUCUUUGUGUCAUUUGAAGAAUGUGGCGUGGUUUCGUGUCUGCCCAGCCAUUUCCAAGUACCGUUCGACGUAAUGGUCCACUUGCAAACUGGGUGACGUGGGAUAGUUUCACCUUUGCGUGAAUACAAAAAUUUUCUCCGUCACACAACCAAGUUGCAGGUUCGGCAGUUUCGUUGUCGCCGAGCGGUAUGGUUGCGGUUUGAUCGAAAUCGAACAUGUCAAAUCACUCAAUAACGAAGCCUUACUCUGCAAUCAGAGCGAGGUGGAGUUAUGUUUUCUAAAUUUUCUGAAUUAGAUCUCAGAUGAAGCGAGAGGACCCGCUAAAUUUAAGCAUAUUAUUAAGCGGAGGAAAAGAAACUAACAAGGAUUCCCCUAGUAACGGCGAGUGAAGCGGGAGAAGCUCAAAUUGUAAAUCGGGGACCCUAACAGGCUUCCGAAUUGUAGUCUAGAGAUAUGUUGCCAGCGAUCGACCGAGGUAUAAGUUUUUUUGGAACAAGGCAUCAUAGAGGGUGAGAAUCCCGUCUGUGACCUCGAGUUCGUCGCGUACGGCACGUAUUCAUUGAGUCGAAUAGCUUGGGAUUGCUGUUCUAAAUUGGUGGUAAAUUUCAUCAAAAGCUAAAUAUUGGCGGAAGACCGAUAGCGAACAAGUACCGUGAGGGAAAGAUGAAGAGAACUUUGAAAAGAGAGUUAAAAAGUACUUGAAAUUGUUAAGAGGGAAGCACUGGAAACCAGUAGCUGCCGAGUGUCUAUAUUUACUAUCCGACAGCGAAGGACGGGAUGCGGGAAGAGGGAAACCCUUCUCCGCUCCGUUCGUAGUUGAUGGGUGGGUCCUGUAGCGCUUGGCGAGUCAGAAUCAAGUAGACCCGCGGGAGAAAACCGGUGGUAAGGUCGCUUGUUCUUCGGAACGGUAGAGACUGCCGGCGAUACCGUGGAUUUGCUUGAGGUGUUGAGAACAGGCGCCGUUCGCGGCUCGAUUCGCCGGACCCUGGAAUGUGGUUUCUCUUGGAUAUCAAAGAUAUGCGGAGGAAGAAGCGUUCCAUUGGACCGGAGUGAGUUAGAUGCCUGUUAGCGAUUCUGACGAAAUGGUUUUCAUUGACCCGUCUUGAAACACGGACCAAGGAGUCUAACAUAUAUGCGAGUAUUUGGGUGGUAAACCCUGAUGCGCAAUGAAAGUAAAGGCAGCUUUUUGGUUGCUGAGGUAGGAAGUCGGGCUUCGGCUUGACGGCACUAUCGACCGAUCUUCACUUGUGAAAGAUUUGAGUAAGAGCAUAUCUGUUGGGACCCGAAAGAUGGUGAUCUAUGCCUGAACAGGGUGAAGCCAGGGGAAACUCUGGUGGAGGCUCGUAGCGAUACUGACGUGCAAAUCGUUCGUCUGAUUUGGGUAUAGGGGCGAAAGACUAAUCGAACUAUCUAGUUGCUGGUUCCCGC
rnacentral:misc_RNA from 1 species